rnacentral:rRNA from 1 species
UCAUACAGAGAGAAAAAAUCAUGACAAUAGAAACUUGUUCUUGUCUGAUCUCAGAAGCUAAGCAGGGUUGGGCCUGGUUAGUACUUAGAUGGGAGACCACCUAGGAAGACCAGCACUGUAUGUG